UGAACACCCCAUCUGCAGGAAAGAGACGCCGGUGGGGAGAGCCUGCCCUGCCGAGUGAUUAAGACCCAACUAACAUCGCGCAGGAGCCCUGCAGAUUCAACACAGCUACAUAACAGAGCUGGAUUAGAUCCCAGAAUGAUCAACUAAAAUCCAAUCAAAUCCUCCCCUCAGUGGGGUUGCAUGGACAAGUGUAACAGUAAAUGCAUCCCCAUGCGAAAUUCAUCACCACCACAGGAGGGCAGGGCCAGCUGGUGCCAUUUAGUAGUUAUACUGCAUCGUGCCCAGAGACUCUCUUCAGGUGUAUGGCUCUGUUAUUUUAUGUGCUGUACAAACACAAAGGUAGUUGGUAUAUGUGUUGAAGAGCUUGCCUAAUAUGAUGAAUGAUAUAGGAAAGGUGGGGAAGAUGAUAAAAUAUAUACAAUUUUAUAUAUAUUGUUAAUAUCUUAGAAAAGAGACGACUAAGGGUGGAUAUCACAGAGGUCUAUAAAAACAUGAAUGGUGUGGAGAAAGUGAAUAAGGAAUGUUAUUUAACCCUUCACAUAACACAAGAACUAGGGGUGACCCAAUGAAAUUAAUAGACAGCAAGUUCACAAUAUACAUAAGGAAGUGCUUCUUCACACAAUGCACAGUCCACCUACAUAACUUGUCACCAUGAGAUGUUGUGAAGGCAACAGUUUAAGAGGGUUCAAAAAAGAAUAAGGUAAGUUGAUGGAGGAUAGGUCCAUCAAUGGCUAUUAGUCAAGAGAGUCAGGUAUGCAACCCCAUGCUCUGGGCAUCCUUAAGCCUGACUGUCAGAAGCUGGGACUGGAAGAUGGGGGUGGGAAACUCGAUAAUUGUCCUGUUCUGUUGAUUCCCUCUGAAGCAUCUGGCACAGGCCACUGUUGGGACACAGGAUAUUAGACUAGAUGAACCACUGGUCUGACCCCGGCUGGCCAUUCUUAUGGUCUUAUUUGUAAUUACAUAAACACCAACCUUUCCAACUGCCCUUCAGCAGAGACAUUAAAAAUUUACUGAGGAGCAGAAUGCCCCCCUCCAAAUAAACGAUUGUGUGCAGCUUAGAGGAGGAAACACCACAAGAGAAUAGACGUGAUGGGGCUGGACAGAUCCCCGUCCCUGAACCAGUUCUGGGCAUGUGGGAGAAAGUGCAAGAAACAUCCCACCCACUGUAAUAGGAAAGAGCUGGAGGACUGAGAAAGAGAACUCGUAACACCCUAGAGUGGACGGUACGGUGACUCUAGGCAUAGGUGGACAAACAGCAAAUAAUGGAGGAGAUGGUGUGCAUGCACACUGUUCUCAAAGGAAGCCCACUAUACUUAUGUCAUAGCAAAUGGAAAUGUACACUGUGAGGUCCCUCCACACCCAAAGCCUCUCCUUGGCUGGGCUGUAUGAACCCUCUGAGAGACGGGUCCUGCAUAUGUGGGGGGGAACUCACCCCACAUAUCUCCUCCCUUCUAUAAGGCAGCUACUGUAGGAACCUACAAUAGCACGAUCUGAUCAGGAUGUGGAGGUAUGCAUUCACCAGAUCCCCUCAAGUCAGAAAGUACUCUGGAACAGGGAUGACACCGUAGAGGUUAGGGUCUCCAUCUGGAACAUCUUUGUCUGAAGGCCUAUCUGUACUCUUUCUUAAAUGCAUGGUGUGGCAUUGGGAGGAACUGUUCAGAUUUUUGCAGCACUGUCUUCCACUACUUUGUCUAGCUUCUCCCCAGAAAGCAGGACUCCCAUAAAUCUGGAGAACACACCAGUUUAGAGGGCUAUACGCCUUCCAGGGACAGAGCCAUAGGUAGUACCUGGUCACUGAGCUGGAGGCCCUGGCUUUGGCGAAGAAUCUCAUCACAGCCAUUGAGGUACCAGCAAUGCUGCUGCUCGGGAAACUUUCUUCAAAAUAGAGUCGAAGUCAGGGUGAUCUCUAUCCUUGAGAGCUCUGAGAUCUUCCAGCUAAGAGAGAGAUGCUCUCACAAAGUAAGCAGCCUCUAGGGAUGCCCUGUUGGAGGCUCAGGAGGCCUCAGUCUUUUUUGAGAGUGGCAUCCAUUUUUCUAACCAUGGGAUCCUUAGAAUAGAAUCAUAGAAUCACAGAACUUGAAGGAACCUCGAGAGGUUAUCUACUCCAGUCCCCUGAACUCAAGGCAGGACUAAGUAUUGUCUAGAACUCCCCUUCUGAGGGGAUAACCAUAUCUUUUGCCAGGAACCCUAAGGGAGCGUCCACUUUAUGUAUCUCAGUAAGCUGGACCAUUGAUUGCUGGAUCCUGUAGAAUCUAAGAUAAUUUUUGUUAGUACGUUUGCCCUUGAUUGACUUGUCUCAUUCAUUCCUGAUUACUUCCCUGAAGGAGGAAUGUAGGGGAAUCAUGCCUCAGAGGAGGAGUUCAAGAAGAGAAAUUUUCUUAUAGGCUUACUCACAGGGCUCUGUUUCGGUUGAAUCUGAACAGUAGAUACCACCUUUUUGCUCAUGGCCUUGAAUUUCUCAGGGGGAACAAACUUUUGCUGAGUCUUUUCCUGGUCUUGAUCAGAGUCAGAGUCCAACAAUUCACUAUCCUCUAUAGAAGAGGGGGAAGAGGAGUCCGAGGGCUUCUAUUUCC